AUUGAACGCUGGCGGCAGGCCUAACACAUGCAAGUCGAGCGGGGUUUUCGGGCCUAGCGGCGGACGGGUGAGUAAUGCGUAGGAAGCUACCCGAUAGAGGGGGAUACCAGUUGGAAACGACUGUUAAUACCGCAUAAUGUCUACGGACCAAAGUGUGGGACCUUCGGGCCACAUGCUAUCGGAUGCGCCUACGUGGGAUUAGCUAGUUGGUGAGGUAAUGGCUCACCAAGGCGACGAUCUCUAGCUGGUUUGAGAGGAUGAUCAGCCACACUGGAACUGAGACACGGUCCAGACUCCUACGGGAGGCAGCAGUGGGGAAUAUUGGACAAUGGGCGCAAGCCUGAUCCAGCCAUGCCGCGUGUGUGAAGAAGGCCUUCGGGUUGUAAAGCACUUUCAGCGAGGAGGAAGGGGUGUGUGUUAAUAGUACACACCUUUGACGUUACUCGCAGAAGAAGCACCGGCUAACUCUGUGCCAGCAGCCGCCGCCGUAA
rnacentral:rRNA from 1 species